AAUAUUGCACAAUGGAGGAAACUCUGAUGCAGCGACGCCGCGUGAACGAUGAAGGCCUUCGGGUCGUAAAGUUCUGUCCUAGGGGACGAUAAUGACGGUACCCGAGGAGGAAGCCCCGGCUAACUACGUGCCAGCAGCCGCGGUAAUACGUAGGGGGCAAGCGUUGUCCGGAUUAAUUGGGCGGAAAGGGUGCGUAGGCGGCCUUUUAAGUCAGGUGUGAAAGGUAACGGAUCAACCGUGGUAAGAAUUUGAGACUGAAAGGCUUGAGUUAAGGAGAGGAAAGUGGAAUUCCUAGUGUAGCGGUGAAAUGCGUAGAUAUUAGGAGGAAUACCAGUGGCGAAGGCGACUUUCUGGACUUAUACUGACGCUGAGGCACGAAAGCGUGGGGAGCGAACAGG
rnacentral:rRNA from 1 species